AGAGUUUGAUUCUGGCUCAGAACGAACGCUGGCGGCGUGGAUAAGACAUGCAAGUCGAACGAGAGAAUUGCUAGCUUGCUAAUAAUUCUCUAGUGGCGCACGGGUGAGUAACACGUGAGUAACCUGCCCCCGAGAGCGGGAUAGCCCUGGGAAACUGGGAUUAAUACCGCAUAGAAUCGCAAGAUUAAAGCAGCAAUGCGCUUGGGGAUGGGCUCGCGGCCUAUUAGUUAGUUGGUGAGGUAACGGCUCACCAAGGCGAUGACGGGUAGCCGGUCUGAGAGGAUGUCCGGCCACACUGGAACUGAGACACGGUCCAGACACCUACGGGUGGCAGCAGUCGAGAAUCAUUCACAAUGGGGGAAACCCUGAUGGUGCGACGCCGCGUGGGGGAAUGAAGGUCUUCGGAUUGUAAACCCCUGUCAUGUGGGAGCAAAUUAAAAAGAUAGUACCACAAGAGGAAGAGACGGCUAACUCUGUGCCAGCAGCCGCGGUAAUACAGAGGUCUCAAGCGUUGUUCGGAAUCACUGGGCGUAAAGCGUGCGUAGGCUGUUUCGUAAGUCGUGUGUGAAAGGCGCGGGCUCAACCCGCGGACGGCACAUGAUACUGCGAGACUAGAGUAAUGGAGGGGGAACCGGAAUUCUCGGUGUAGCAGUGAAAUGCGUAGAUAUCGAGAGGAACACUCGUGGCGAAGGCGGGUUCCUGGACAUUAACUGACGCUGAGGCACGAAGGCCAGGGGAGCGAAAGGGAUUAGAUACCCCUGUAGUCCUGGCAGUAAACGGUGCACGCUUGGUGUGCGGGGAAUCGACCCCCUGCGUGCCGGAGCUAACGCGUUAAGCGUGCCGCCUGGGGAGUACGGUCGCAAGAUUAAAACUCAAAGAAAUUGACGGGGACCCGCACAAGCGGUGGAGUAUGUGGUUUAAUUCGACGCAACGCGAAGAACCUUACCAAGGCUUGACAUUGAUUGAACGCUCUAGAGAUAGAGAUUUCCCUUCGGGGACAAGAAAACAGGUGGUGCAUGGCUGUCGUCAGCUCGUGUCGUGAGAUGUUGGGUUAAGUCCCGCAACGAGCGCAACCCCUGCCAUUAGUUGCUACGCAAGAGCACUCUAAUGGGACCGCUACCGACAAGGUGGAGGAAGGUGGGGAUGACGUCAAAUCAUCAUGCCCCUUAUGUGCUGGGCUACACACGUAAUACAAUGGCCGUUAACAAAGGGAAGCAAUCCCGCGAGGAGGAGCAAAACCCAAAAAACGGUCUCAGUUCGGACUGCAGGCUGCAACCCGCCUGCACGAAGUUGGAAUUGCUAGUAAUCGCGGAUCAGCAUGCCGCGGUGAAUACGUUCCCGGGUCUUGUACACACCGCCCGUCAAACAAUGGGAGUGGUGUUUACCAGAAGUCGUUAGCCUAACCGCAAGGAGGGCGGCGACCACGGUGAGCACCGUGACUAAUGUUAAGUCGUAACAAGGUAGCCGUACCGGAAGGUGCGG
rnacentral:rRNA from 1 species